GAUGAAGAACGUAGCGAAAUGCGAUACGUAAUGUGAAUUGCAAAUUCAGUGAAUCAUCGAGUCUUUGAACGCACAUUGCGCCCCCUGGUAUUCCGGGGGGCAUGCCUGUUCGAGCGUCAUUUCACCACUCAAGCCUCGCUUGGUAUUGGGCAUCGCGGUCCGCCGCGUGCCUCAAAUCGACCGGCUGGGUCUUCUGUCCCCUAAGCGUUGUGGAAACUAUUCGCUAAAGGGUGUUCGGGAGGCUACGCCGUAAAACAACCCCAUUUCUAAGGUUGACCUCGGAUCAGGUAGGGAUACCCGCUGAACUUAAGCAUAUCAAUAAGCGGAGGA
rnacentral:misc_RNA from 1 species